GGACAGUGUGGACUUUAAUGAAGAGCAAUUGGGCUGGCUGAGUCAGGCAAAGGCAUUGGACAAAGUCCGUGAGACUGCGCAGCACGUCUUAUCAAAUUUAUGCAGCACUUUCAUCAGUGGACUCUCACAUGGAAACCCAGUGCAUAACGUAAGUAGAGGCAGAGCCAAGGUACAGCAGGAGGACUGGUAUCUGCCCCGCAGUGGAGUCCAGCGUUUCUCUCUGCAGAGCUCAAGGUAUAUAUAUAUUUUUUGAGACAGGGUCUCAAUAUACGGUGCAGGUUGGGCUUGAGCUCACUUUGUAGCCUAGGCUGGUCUCAGACUUACAACAGUCCUCCUGCCUCAGCCACUUGAGUGCUUCCAGGUAUAGUUUGAUGGUCCAUGGAAGACCAGAAAAGGCAGCACAGCUGUGUCUCACUUGAUCAGUACAAACACAAACCCAAGACCCUGUGAGCUGAGGAAGAAAGUCCUCAAGCACGAAGUACUUCUGUUUCCCUCAAUUAACCCUGCACUGAGAGCCACAGUUUAAAGCCUGUGCUGAGAAGUCUUAGUUUGGCAGGAGGAGUUGCUCCCAGUGGGAAGAAAGUCAUCUUGGUGCCCUGUUCUGAAUCUCUCCCCUCUUAGAGACUGAGCCUCUCCCUUGAUAGAGACUGAGCACAGUCUAUGCUUAAUUAUCUUUAAUGAAGAGGAGUGAGGGUGUGAAUAAUCCAAAUGAUGGACAAUCC
rnacentral:lncRNA from 1 species